UUUUUUUUUUUUUUUUUGAAGGCAAGAGUAAAAGUAAUUCAAGAGAAAGAAUUGCGGCAAAGAAUGUACAUUUUAGAGGAUACAUGUCGACAGGAGGUAGAGUCACUCAAUGUACACGCGACUUGCUCCAAUUUGCAAAAGGUUAGUCGCACGUAGACAUCACCUUUGAUCCAUCUAACAAAGAAAAUAGCCCUCACGAACAUGGAGUCAACGAUAGGGAGGUAGCAGCACAUAUAUAUGCCUUCGCUGGCAGUGAACUGUUGUGCAGCAUAUUGAACGGUACAAAGCACAUUCUUGUUCAAUUCCCUGGGGAUAUUGGGAGAAGUCGUUAUCCGGAAUAUCUCUCCAGGAUUCUUAAAAAUUUGGGUGCUGGAUGAAUAAUUUGCCACGGCAUGAUUCCAAGGGAAUCUUGACCACGAGCAUAGAAUGCAUUGCUCUCGAUGAAAUUUCUUCAAUGUCGGAUGCUAGAGCAUGAAUUCUUUGCGAUGUGCAGAUGGUAUUGUAGAAUGCAAUACAGCUGUAGGUAGUCAUCAUCAAGAGAAGGACGGACAUCAAAUAAGAUGGUCCACGAGCAUGUACUGUAUUAUAUAUGAUACAUGUUAUUUGAUGGUCAUCUAUCUUGUGAUGGCAGUCAUGUAAAGAUACAAGCAUGCUGCAGUGCUGUCCGCACAUCACAAAAAAUUCUGAUUGCAAGCACUCAUGUCUUCCUUCCACUACUUCUAUCAAUAAUGUUUUUUCUCAAACUAAUAGCUUACACGCUACUUGAAUAGGCACAGCGAUUUGCAUCAAACAUAAGAUUCAUUCUCUAGGAUAACGAUGCCACCGUUACUCAUACCACCGCACCACCAUGAUCAACCACAAGUAAUGCCAUCCAAUUGGAUACACUGUUGUCCUCCCUAUAGUUAUGUUUGUCCAUACAAGAAGUGCAGCUCAAAUAAAUCUCUUGGGUGUCCGCCAACAAAGGCAGGUUGGCAUCCCAGUACUCCAUUCCUACCGUAGUCUAUGGAACAACUAUUCUAAAGUGGCCUUCUAGAACAAUAUUACGCUUAGCCCCUAGAAUGAGAAUUGCAUGUGUCAAUCCCUCCCAUACAGUUCUUAGCUCUGCGAGCUGUACCAAUUAAGGUAUCAUACAAUGGGCUGCCACAUCUGUGCAAGCGAAGCGGCCACGACCAGCAAUAAUCCAUGGCCAUAAAUAACAAAGCCAGCUCUCAAUGUAUAUUUUUGUUAAAGCUAAACUUUGAGGAAGCAAGAGGACGAGCGUUUUCAAGUAAAGUGAGCCAUAAUGGACGCAGAAGCUGCAAGCAUAGAUUAAAUGUUGGAUGAUACAAUGAUAUCGCACAGAGUAACAUGCCAUUACUUAAAGGAGAAGAUGACAGACCGCGUCAGUACCAUUAUCUGCGUGACGUGAAAUAAAGUGUUUUGCCGCGUUGUAGGGCUUAGGUGGAUGCAUGGAUCUCUUUGUCGUUUAUGGCCAUGGGAACCCGGCAUGGUGACCUGAGAGCUGACUUCGAUAUUCUAAAACAUCAGGAAAAAUAGACAGGCCAGGCUGGGCAUGCACAGGGCUUCUUCGGGGAUAAAAGGCCAAUGUGAGUGAACCCCUUUCAGACACAGCAGCCGUUCUGAUUCCCUCCCCCGGUCCCCCCCCCCCCCCCCUCCCUUGAUCACUGUUCUACAUGACGGAGCCCGGAUUGCUGUUUGAAAACAAGGGAGAGUGGAAAAUAAGCUGCCUGUUCCAGUUAGAAUGUGAUUGCUUUUAAUUUAAGUCAGAGCAGUGGAAUGGAGUUGAAUAUCUAUCAAAAGCUCGAAUAAUCAGAGAAUGACAUGCACUUUUUAAUUUCUUCAGUGCGGAGGAUGGAAAAACAUUUAAUCUCUAUCAUUUCGUGACAUUCUAGAAGAGCCUUGCUUUGUUGUAAUAGACUCUAGGCCUUUUCUUUCUUUUUUUUCCAACUUACCUUAAUUUUUCUAUUGCAAAAAAAAAACUCCUUUAUGAUGAAGACAGGGUUCCUCCGAUUCUGAUAUAAUUGGUAGGUCAUGGGUGGUAAGUGCACCGCUGACAAUGUUGGCUUUACAUGUUUCUCGAUUUGUGCAUGUCAUCGUUGCAUAAAGGCUGCACCAAUCUUCUUUGUAUUAUUUUAAAAAAUAUUUUAAUUUUUUAAAAUUUUAUCUAUUUUUAUUAUUGGAUUAAAUAUAGAUCAUUCGAUUUGAAAUAUUAAUGUGCAUGAUCGACACGAUAAGUAUUUAAAAAUUUUAAAUUAUUUUAUAUAAUAAUUAAAAUAUUUUUUUUUCAAAAAAAUUUUUGUUCCUUCAUGGACCAACGGAGGGGGGCUGUGGCUGGUAUCCGCAGGCUAUGGAGGGAGAGCACAGAGGAGUCGUGGGCACUGGGGGUGGCGGCGCAGAGAAGUCGCAGACCGUAGAGGAGUGUGGGUACGGUGCAGAAACAACCGGCACCAAGGGGUGGCGACAGGGGCGGAGGGUGGGGAAGACGGGGUUGGUUGUGGGGGCGAGGGGAUUGGGGGGGCGGGGGGCGCCGGGGGGGGUGUCGCAGAAAGCCCGUGGGCGCCGGAGGGGGCCAAGGGGCGGCUUAGAAGCUGCGGGUGCUCUUCAGCAGGGGGCAGGGUGGGAAGCACGAGCGCUCACGGGACAGGGGGCGGAGAAACAAUCGGCACCAGAAGGGUAGGGUGGUUCACGCGGGGAAGGAUAGGAACGUGGACACCCGUGGAGGAGCAUCGGGGCAGGGGUGGUUGUGCACCGAGAGUGGAGGACUGACGGGCGUUGGGGGCGGAGGGGAGGAGACCGCGGGCGGAAAAGCCGCGGGUGGGCGCGGGGCGUGGAGAAGUCGACGGUGGAGGGAGACGGAGGAACGCGGGCAGGGGGCCAGGGGCAGCCGCGGGGGCAGCUGCGGUGGCGGUAGGAAGAGGGGAGUGGCCGCGGAAAAGCAGGGAGGUGGACCGGCGGAGGAGCCGCGGGAAAGACGGAAGAAUGGCAAAAAAAUAAUAAUAAUAAAAUAUUUUUUUUAAAAAAAUAAAAUAUAUAAAAUUAUAAUGCAUAAUACCUACAGGACCUUCUAUAAUAAAAUAUUAUAAACAAGUAAUACAAUACCCUUUAUAUAUAAAAGCUCCUCUAUCACCACUUUUACAAUGCACAGAUGGUAGCUGUGACUUAAUACACAACACUGAAAAAAGGUCAUCAUUCAGCAUAUAAAACGGCAUAUGUUAUUUGAUGUAGAUCAAAAAAAUUUAGAAAUGAAAAAUAAAUUUAUUUAAAAGAUAAACAUCGAAACAACAAGUUUACCUUCUCUCACACAAAAAAGCCUCAUGCUAACAAAAUAUUCUUAUAGCGUAAUUGGAAUAGAAAAUUAUGAUAGACUAGAAAUAGAAUUUUAAUGUAAGCAUCACAAGUAAUAGACUUCAACACAGCAAAAGCUAAUCUAAGUGGGAUAAUCUGUUGGUGUCUCGUGGCUUCAGUCAUCAUACAGCAAGAAAUUCUGUCUGAUUAGUACAAGCCAGCUUGGCCCAACACCAUAUCAGUGUGCAACAUGCAUCAUACCUCCCGAAUUAUAGCCAAUAAUACGUUCAAACUCUGCCUUAUUUGUAUCAUGCAACUUGCCCAUUGCCAUUAUUGGAAAUCAAGUAUGUCCAAAAAAGUCUUGGAAGAGCAUCACACGGAAAUAAACAGACAUCUCCACUAAGAGGUAUAGUUGCAGGUUUGUUACUUUGUUGCUUGGAUUAUGAGAAUGCAACAGCUAUAUAAAAGUGGGGCAUGUAUUCCUUUGCUUCCAUCAUUGAAGAGGAGUCGUGUCACGAAAAACUUUUUUACUUAGAAUGCACACAAUUUAAAUAAGAACCAAUAUUAUUGUCACAGUGGUGGCUAUAAAUAUUUUCUUCAAAGAAAGUUAAUGUAUACCUCUUGAGAUAACUCCAUUGUACUGGGAACGUGAUGGUGCUUGUUCUGAGUUUCAGUAAACCAGAAGCCAUAGUCCUCAAGUGUAAAUUUGUUUCCCAAAAUACAUAUUCUUGGACUGAAUUCGUCAAUUCUUGGUUUGUGGGAUUACAAGCAUCAAUCGGAAUCUCAUUACUCUUGGACUAAUCACAUGCAUAGCCAUGCGCUUUCACCUAAAUACAGAAAAUGGGACCAACGAACCUAAAUUACGGAAAAAGAAGAAUAGAUAACUAAAUCUAGUCAUGUUAUACUCUUACCCGUAAAGGUAAUAGUGUUAAACGUAUGUGCCAUAACAUUAGUAUAAAAUGUGUGGAAAAUAAUGAUUCAAAACAUAUUUUAAAUUGAUGGGAUCAUCGUCCAUCGAAUUCUAUCACAAUAGAAAUUUAGGGGAAGAUCUAGCUUGCUAGUUCAAAGCGAGCUUUAUGGGAUCAAGUCGGGCUCAAAUUGAAACUAAUUUAAUCAACUAUAUAUUAUAAAACAAAAAUUAAAAGAAAAUUUCUUAACAUUUGAGAUUGUCUACGUAAGUAAUUUUUUCUAUGCCAUCUGUUCUCCUGCAUAACAACCCCUCAAGCAUUAAAUUCAAAUCUUGAAUUAAUAAAAAACUACAUUAAAUUUUAUUUAUAUGAAUUAAAUUAUGUUAUUAAUAUAUGAUAUUAUUACAUUCUUACAAUUAAAAUCUAUUUAUAUUGAUAGUUGAGAAUAUGAAAUGACAUUAAAAAUUUUAAUAAAUAUUAUUUUAUUAUUUAUAUAUAAUUUUUUUAAUAUAAUUAAAUUUAAAAUUCGUAAACAACACAUGGGCUCAAAACUAAUUAAAGAAAAAGGCAACCAUUCCGCCUUAAAUCUCUUCUCAAGUGAUCCGUCCGCUCCCACUCACGCAUCAUCGCUUUUCCAUGUAGGCCCAGGCUUGCCCAACACAAAAGCUUUGCAGACGUACAGCCCAAUAAACUAAUAUGAAACCCAAGCUUGGCCCGGGCCGAGGAAGGAGGCCUGGAAACCCAUCAAGCGAGCUUCGGUUGUUGACACCAAUAUCGAGAUUGGGUUUAAUUAACAACAAAGGAGUGCACUUGGAGGCCUUAAAGCUUAGUCAAGAUGAAUACAUACAUUUUAACUAAACAAACUUACUCAUACUGCGCAAGCGAGCACAUAUCUAUUUUGCACCUAUAAAAAUGAAAUCUGUAACGAAAAGAAAGAAAGAAAACCUAGUGCGACACCAUGAGAACUCAAAUUCAAGACCAUACUCAUAGACGAUGAUGCGUUACCAACUUAAGUCGAAGUCAAUUUGCAAUCAUAUUAAUUUGUGUUAUGGUAGAAAACUUUGACAAAAAAGAAAAAAAAACUUAAAACACAACCUCCGCAACUAAUGGAAGUUAAUCACCCAUUAACAUGAAAAAUUAUUUAUUGGAUUAAAUCCGCCAGCUCAACAGUGGACCAAUCCGCCAAGGACUCGCACAAAUAGACAAACAAGAAAUAGGAGGAGAAAGGAAGUAACAUAGGUGUAUUUGUGUAUGUUGGUUCAUGGCUGGAUUGCUCCACCAACUCAGCAGUGAACAGGCCAACUAAAAUUUCAUCAUUAACGGAACUAUUUUGAAGAACAGAGAAUUUGUGGUUCCUAAUCCAUCUAACGUUCUGCUGCAGAAUUGGCACUAACAUUAAAAUUUAUCUUUUCAGAAUUAUAAUUAUACUAGCUUAGGACCCAUGUCGCACGACACAUAAUUAUUUUUUUAAAAUAAUAUUUUUAUAAAUAAAAAAUUCAACAUAAUAUAUAAGAUAUCAUAGAUGAUAUCAAAUAUUCUAAAUAAAAAUAUAAAAUCAGAUUAUUUAAAUAAUAUGAUAAUAAAAAAUAACAUAAUUAUUUUUAUCGGUAUAUGUGAUCUUUUUUUUAUGUUCAUUAUCUUCAUAUUGCUUAGCAAAAUAUCGCACUCAUUUCUAUGCUUGAAAAAGUUUAUAGAUCCGUCUAUCCACCAUAAAAAAAAAGAUGACUAAGAGAAGGAAAAAAUUGUUAAGAAAACUUACAAAAGAGAAGAAGAAAAAAAAUUAAAAAAAAAAGUAUCACUUUUUCUUUCUAUUUUCUCACUCUAUAGAUUUUCUUUCUCUAAAAUUAUUUUUUUUUUCUUUGUGAAUUUCUCUCACUAAGAUUGAUCGAGUAAAAAUAUUUUCUUUCAAUGAUUUUGAUCUAAUCCUAGCGAAGAGAGUCUUGAUUCGCAGUCGCUGAUAGUGUACCGACAUCUAUCUUGAUCGAAUCGGAUAUCUCUAAAUUUAACUAUUUAUGAUUUUAAUUUAUUGAACUAUCUAUAUACUAAUCUGAUCAUAAUUUGAUUAGAUUAUUUUGAUUAAAUCGAUUGGAUCAUCGGACAGUAUCAUUUUUUUAGUCCUAUUCCAUCUUGUUAAUUUAUUAUUUUUUUAAUAUUAUAUCUCUAUAUGAUUUAUAAACCCAAUGAACCCGAUUUAUUUCUUUGAGUUGGAGUCUGAGUUGAUUUUAGUAAAAGGUUUUGAACCGAUCUAUUAAUCGAACAUGUCUAUACCAUUUGGAUCUUUAUCAAGCACCAUGAGAUAUGAUUUUUAUCGAUCUUUGUUAAAUCAUUAUAUUUUAAGUAAUUCUGAUCAGAUGAAACUAUUUAAUCAAAUUGAUUCCUUAUUGUCAAUCAAUAUACUGAUCUCUACUUUGAUUUUUAUUUUCGAGAUUUUUUUGGUAGAGUUUAUCUGAGGUUUUUAAUUUACUUAUUUAACGUAAUCACAGUGCUUUUCUAUUAUGCAUAAGAAUCAUUGCGAUUACAUCAUUCAACGUUAUACAUAAGAAUCCAUACGUAGGAUAAAUAAUUUACCCAAUGAGUCAGGAUCAUGUUCAUAAACCCUCUCUGGAUUCAAUCCAAUUUGACCCUAUCACCCGUUCUUUCCGGACACUGGCUUAAAUCGGUCCACAAUGGAGGCACCCAAACACAGAGCGCUCGCAAGCAAGGCCGCAGCUAUUCAUCUCCUUUCUCCUCUCCCCUCCUCGUCCUACUUCUCCUCCCUUCCGUAUCCGGCAAGACGAUGGGCUGUGCCAGUGGUGGCUAGAAGUCGCACACAACCCGCAUCCUCAGCAUCCCCAAGGAGGGUGAGUAGAUCCUCGUGCCCACGCGGCUGCCCGACGACAUUCUCUGGAAGCUCAUCUGCAUCCGUGCCGGGUACGUCCCCUAGGACGAAGUCGUCGUUUAGCUACGGCGGCGGAGGAGGCAACGACAUCAUCGAAGGAGAGGAGGGGUUGGGGGUCAAAAGGGAAGCGGUCACCGCCGCUGUCAUCACAGAACUCCAGAGUCGGAUCUGCGAUGGGACUUGAGAUGCCCCCCCUGCACACAGAACCUUAGAAACCCCUUCGAUCUUUGAAGGCGCUUCCACGGCCCCUGCAAAGACUGUGUGAGGCAUCCCGACCGCUGCCCAGACCAUCUCCUUCGACCCCAACUUCCUGCUCUCCUCUCCCAUCGCUGCCUCUGUCGUUCCUUGCCUCUCAGACCCCUCUGCCUCCCUCUCCUCUUUUGGCCCCGAAUCACACCCUCCACCUCUCCUGCAUCUCAGCUGUCGAAUGCCGGCCGGAGUCACCAGCCGCGACUGUCCGACUAUCCCCGCCUCCUCAGUCGACGAAGCCCUCCUCACCUUCUCCUCCUCCCACACGGGACUUCUCAUCCUCGACACCCGCACUCUUUUAGCCAUACGUCGUAUAAUUGUUUAGCCACGUGUCGAAUGAAGACUCCUUAACGUGGCUGCUCCGUUUUUAUAUAUAUAUAAAAUAGGUUUGACUUGAACACAGCAGCAACUCUAUCAAAGGUCAGUGCUCUAUCAUCCUGAAUCUUAAAAUCAUGGCCGUCCAUAUUGUGCUCUCGGUAAAGGGUUUAUUAGCAAACUCGGUGGAUGUAACCUAGUAUUUGUUGUUUGUUACGUUACGUUAUACGAUGGUCGGAUGCUUGGAGGCUUAACGGGCCGAGGAAUCCUACAAGCUCUAGGCUUGUCUCCCAUCAAAACCCUUCCUUUCCCUACCGCAAACAAAGAAUAAUAUUAAAAAGAAUUCCUCUCCUUUCCCGUCGCGUGGAAGCCCUCCUGUCUCUCUCCUCGCACACGCAAGAAAGGGAUCGACUGCUCGCUCGCUCGCUCGCUCUCCCCCCACCCACUUAGAAUACUUUUAUCUGCUCACCCGCUCGGAGGGCCAACUGAUCUCUGGAGAACUACAGGUAAUCAGAUCUCCGAGUCUCUGUUUUUCAUCUUUUUGUUUUUUGGUUUAUUAGCUGGGAUUUUGGAUCUGUUCUCGGUUAUCUUGUUCGGUUCGUUCUGAUCUGAUUGGUUGGGAUUUGGUUGGUUUCUAUUUGGAUUUUGUCUGUGGAUAUAAGGUAGAGGUUUUUUUGUAGUUCUUUGGUUUCUUGUUCCUUUUUCGAUAAGGUGUUAUUGAUGUUCCAUGGAUUGUCCGCCGAUUUGAUAUCCAUUGUGUACUUUGCAUUUUACAUGAGAUCGUAAGGUUCACGGAUCAUGAAAAAUUUUCUUUUUUCUUCUUUUAUUUUAAGUAAUCAGAAAAGGUUAGGGGGAAGGAAAGACAUAAUUUCAAGCUACUAUUCUACCUACUGAAGUCUGAAACUAUAAACUACUUUAUUUUGUUGAUUAUAAAGAUAGAGAAGUAAGUUAUGAAAUUAUUGAUUAUGGAAUUUUAAUCGUGUUAUAAGAGGUUUGUUGACCUGAUGAGUGGGUUAGUGAACUUUGUUCCUGUCUCCACCAUGGCACAAAUAAGUAGGUGUUAGUGUGUGGAUUUCUAUCAAGGUGACAUUAAUAACCAAUUUCUUUAAUUGAUUUUCCUGUUGUGUUUGACUUGUUGGCGCUAUGAGAUGUUCUCUUUGUAUAAGCAAGGUCUAGAAGAGGGAAUAUCUAUUAAUUGCUGAAUUAGUUAUGGGCAUACCCCAUUAAUAUCUAUUAAUUGCUGAAUUAGUUAUGGGCAUACCCCAUUGUGAGUAGCCCCGCAGGUGUGGGUUUAUAUUAAUUAUGCACUGUGCAGUUCUUGAAUAUUUAUGUAGGGCCAAAAAAACCCAAAUAACAUCUUUUGGUCAGUCAUUCUAAGUGAGAUCUCACAUUGGUACGAAUAGUAUCAAAGCAGAUUCAACCCAUGGUCCAUGUGGAUUGUGGGACACUGCAGCACAGGUCUAUUAGAGCUGACCACUAGCUGAUGGUGGUGCUUAUGAUUGGAUUUAAGUGGAUUUGGACCCUUUGCUGCAUAAGAAUACUGGAGCUUAAAAUUGAGGACCUAUGUAGUCAUGUCUUUAAUUCCAAAUCAUUUAUGCACUAGGGAGAAUUUGGACACUUAUAUAGGGCAAAGGAAUCCAAAUAACACCUUCUGCUUGGCCUUUUUGGGUGAGAUCUUAUUUUGUUAUGCCCAUCCUCCACUCCUAGUUUUGAUUUAAUGCUGAAGGGACAAGUUCAUCAGAAUUUUUUUUUUUUAUUUAACUGAUCUGACUUUUUAUAUGGAGUUACCCGGUAGAGUUAUUAAAGUUAGCCUUUUAUGCUAUUAUGACCAAAAGAAGCUUCUAGUAGAUGGAAUUUAGCUUUGAGUUAUAAAGAUUUGCAUUCUGGAUCAUGACUUUGUACUGACUUUUAAUGACAUGUUUUCUCAAAAGCAAUUUAUAUAUGCUUUCUUUGAAAGUUUUUUUUUUUUUGGGGUGUUGACAGUACUAUAAAUUGAUAUUAUUAGAUUUGAUUUCUCAAUAUAAGUAACAAGUUUUGAAGAUGUUCUUGUUACUUAUUUAUUUUGUUCUAGAUUGGCUUCAUUUAAGUAUUGGGGGUGUACUAUAUCUAUCUAACAGGAUACUGGUAUCAAUGUGAGGCACUGCAUGACCUCAUAUUGACCAUGGUACUAUGUGGUAAGGUGACUUCAAUAAUAUAUCAUUUGUCGGUACUGGGGCAUGUUGUACUGUACCAUACUGUAUCGGUGUACAGGACCUGAUACUGAGACAGAAAACAAGAGGCUGAUCAAUAAAAGUUCAAAAAUGCUAUGAUUCUAAUAGAUUCAUGGGCUUAUCAUUGACUUCAUAAAUAUGACAAAUUGAUAGUUACGCAUCUUUUUAGUUUAGGACAUUCUUACUUAUCAAUAAAGAUUGAGAAAUGAUAAAAUAAAACAUGAGUAUAAAAUAGCUAGCAACAGUCUGAUUGAGUCUUUUGUUGUUUCAGAGUUAAUUUCAUUUGAUCGGUUUUGCUACAUAAUGAACUCUGUAUUUAGGUUUUGUUCCUUCUUGUUAUAAAAAAGAAAAGGUGAUGGUGCAUCUUUCCGUGAUUUUUUUCUUUUGGAAUAUUUAUUAAUCACCUUGCAAUUUAUUCUGUAAGGUGCAAACUAUCUUUAACUACAUAGUUCAAAAACUGUUCAUGUUAAAAGAUUUUACAUGUAUGAUUUGUGCAUUAUAUUUUUAUGCAAAUAAUGUUUGAUGGGAAUGCUUGCCUUGUUUAUAGGAAAAGCAUAAGUUCCAUGGUUUUCCUUAGUUUAAAUUGCUAAUUUUAGUUAGUGGGUGAUGUUUAUUGUCCCGUCUGAUUUUGCUGUGCCUUUGUUUGAUGCUAUAAGUCAGUCAUUUAAUUUUUAUCUUUUUUCUAAAAAAAAAAGCUUGAGUGCUUUAUUUUAGCAUGUUGCAAGGAAAAAAAACUGCUCCAUUUUCCUUUUUUUCCUUCCAAAAAAUGACCCUCUUUUUUAUAUAAAGGAUCCAUUUUGGAACCCACCCAUUCUCUCUCCCCUUUAAUUUUGAUGCAUGCUAAAUGUCUUUGCUAUUAUAUUAGUCAGUCUAAGUUAAGUGGAUCCAAUAGCUAUGCCGUAUCUAAUUUCUUUAUAUUACUUUCAAAGUCUACAGGAGAGGAAAUUUGUAUCCGUUAAAGAAAUUUAAAAUCUAUGUAAGAGGCCUUUUCGAUUUUCAUGUUAUGAAUUCAUUGUCUCUGUGUCACACAGGGUACAUUCCUAGUUUUUAUUCGACUCCUACUUAUUGUAGUUGGAAAACAGGAUAGGCUUGCCUUCUGUUUUCAUUGUCAUCCUCAAAUUGCGAUGAGGCUCAUGUUUUGGGCAUAACAUUUUUUCUUUCCAUCUUUCUUUUUCUUGCAUCUAAAUGCAAGAUUCAUCCAGACAUAGUAAGAGCACCUAUAAUUUUUUUUCAUUGUUUUUCUUUUUACAUCUAAAGACAUGAGAUCCAUCCAGGCAUGGUGAAAAAAACCUGGAAAUCAGGGAUUGAUAAUUGCUGGCAAUGCAGUCAAACCAGCUAGGAUUUCUCAAAAAUGAUAAACAAGAUACUUUCCUGUGCUUCUUGGCUUCAAGUUUUUAAAAGGUCAAUAGGGAUAAGGGC
rnacentral:lncRNA from 1 species